AUUGAACGCUGGCGGCAGGCCUAACACAUGCAAGUCGAGCGAGAGGCGGACGGGGGAGUAAUGUAUGGGGACUGACCGAUAGAGGGGGAUAACUAAUGGAAACGGUAGCUAAUACCGCAUACUAUAGGAUAACACAUAUGGGAUUAGCUAGUAGGUGAGGGAAUGGAUCACCUAAGCGACGAUACCUAGCUGGUCUGUGAGGAUGAUCAGCCACACUGGGAAGUAGACACGGCCCAGACUCCUACGGAGGCAGCAGGGGGGAAUAUUGCACAAGGGGCGCAAGCCUGAGGCAGCCAUGCCGCGUGUAUGAAGAAGGCCCUAGGGUUGUAAAGUACUUUCAGUCGGGAGGCGUUACCUACAGAAGAAGCACCGGCUAACUCCGUGCCAGCAGCCGCGGUAAUUC
rnacentral:rRNA from 1 species